ACAGACGUCUUGUCCUAGACCAGCUGGCUCGGGGAGGCCGGGCCUCUGCAAGGCUCCUGCCGGCACCUGGCAGGGAGCCACCUCCUGGGAGGGGAGGACCGCUCCAGGUUCUGUGCCGCCCACAGGUUCCCAGCACUCUCCAGAGAAGAAAUAAAAGGCCAGAUGACGAGUUCAUUUGGAAUUAGAAGCUGGUGCUGAGCCCCUCAGAGGAGCGGCACCAUAUGGCUCCUCAGCCCCCUCUUCACUGCCCAGGUUGUGAGUCCCUGAGAGCCCUUCUGAUCGAGCGCCUGAGCCAGGCCCUCUCUGCCACUGUCCACAGCUGGCCCAGGUUGGAGUCUUCCCUGCACCGUCCGUGUCAUGGCCAGGGAGACCCGCACCCCAGCCCAGCUCGAACAUGCUCCAUGCCUGUGUCCUCAGCAAGUUACAUUCACCACGCAGAAGCCUCAUUGGAAGAUCGGGGCAAUGCAGUGAGAGCGUAGGCAGAGCAUUUGCCCCCGAAUAGCAACACAUGACAUGAAUGUAAUCAGUAUGUUAUCUAGCCUGGCAUACUCCACAUGGAACAAUCCAGAGGCUUCCUGGACUUCCUUCCAUUUGAAAAUGCAGGGCAACACUGUCAGCUUGUAGAGUUAGACCGAACCCCGCCCCUCCUCACUCAUCUCAGUCUAACCAAGAGGGUGGCAAGGAAAAAAAUGCUACUUGAGCUAGUUUGAUUGCAGAGAUAAAAUGGAAAAUUAUAUAAAGGUGUGAUGCUUUCUCCAGAAACCCAGCAGUACCCCCGGGCCUCACGAGGAAACGGAGCCUGCCGCUGAAAGGUGAUCUGACUUACAAUGAGUUGAUCAAGCCGUCUGCAAGCCUGGUUCAGUCCAGGAGAAAAAGUUACCCUCUCAUGUUGGCUUCUGUGUUUCC